UGGGGAAUAUUGCACAAUGGGCGCAAGCCUGAUGCAGCCAUGCCGCGUGUAUGAAGAAGGCCUUCGGGUUGUAAAGUACUUUCAGCGGGGAGGAAGGGAGUAAAGUUAAUACCUUUGCUCAUUGACGUUACCCGCAGAAGAAGCACCGGCUAACUCCGUGCCAGCAGCCGCGGUAAUACGGAGGGUGCAAGCGUUAAUCGGAAUUACUGGGCGUAAAGCGCACGCAGGCGGUUUGUUAAGUCCGAUGUGAAAUCCUCGGGCUCAACCUGGGAGCUGCAUCUGAUACUGGCAAGCUUGAGUCUCGUAGAGGGGGGUAGAAUUCCAGGUGUAGCGGUGAAAUGCGUAGAGAUCUGGAGGAAUACCGGUGGCGAAGGCGGCCCCCUGGACGAAGACUGACGCUCAGGUGCGAAAGCGUGGGGAGCAAACAGG
rnacentral:rRNA from 1 species